AAUUGGUAGACACACUGGAUUUAGGUUCCAGCGCCGCAAGGCGUGAGAGUUCGAGUCUCUCCGUCCGCACCACCUUCUAAAUCAA
rnacentral:tRNA from 1 species